CAAGCUUGCAUUAAGUUAUUCUUUUCAAGAAGCUUACCAUGCACAACUACAGGAUACUUGUAGUUCUCAGUGGCAAUUCAUAGCUACAUUCUUCAAUGGGAGACCUAGCAUGCCUUGAGUACAACAAUACAUGAUCGUCUGGCAACAAACUGUUCAUGAUUGAUGCAUAAUAUGUCCUCUGUCCUCAUUUUAAGUAUUUAUAUUAAUAUUUCUGGUUAUCACUGCGGGAGUUGAAAUGGAUUUGAUGAGGGAAGUCUGCAAUGCAGACUGUGUUAAGUGUACCCGCUCCAGAUUUCAUCGACAGUAAAUGGUCCACUGCUAUUGGCAGGUGCCUUCUUGCACUCUUCUGACCCAGAUACGUAAGAGCAUGGCUCAAAACUCACAGAGAGGCACAACUUUGAAAUGGUUUUAUUUAAACAAUGAAACAAUGUUAUUUGACUGAAAAUCUAUACUAUAUUUUGAUUAUGGGGACACAGCUGAAAUGUAUACACCAAGAAAACAUAACUCUUUUCAGUUGAAUUUCAAAUUCAUGUUGUGGAAAUCAAAUCCAUUUCAAAUUCCAUGAUUUCGGCUAGAAUGAUUAAUGCUACGCCGCUGCUGAUGCCAAAGGUUGUGACACUUUUUUAAUGAUAGUGCAAAUUGAUUGAUGAUGCAGCGCAAGUAGUACAAGUUCAUCAUGUCCACUGCCCAUCCAUGAAUUGUUUUACGAUUGUUUUUCCCGCUGCAAUACACGGGCACAUUGUAGGAGGAAUAUGUAUGCGUUGGUGGGUGCUGGAGGUUCCCUACAACACCCGAGGAUCCGAUGGCGAGCCGUAGGUCGGGGAAGUCGUCAGCAUACAUAUAAGGAGAUGGAGGUGGAGGUGGCGGUGGAGGGAGACGGGCAUUCACUACUCGUCGGAGGGCGAGGGCACGGAGGACAACCGGCACGACGAUUACCACGCCUUCCUCCCGUCGAAUCACUCAAGCACGACGUCCUGGUCCUCUCUAUCCAUUGGCCCCCUCCAACAUCUACCAUGAUGACCACAUCUUGUUUGUGUAGCAGCAGCGGCGGCCAUCCAUGAUCUUCUUUUGUGCCGACCUGCUAGAAACAGGUUGGGCUAUAGACAACUAGAGAUUGGUCACCUGUCUAGCAGCUCAUUUCUGAAAACAAAGACCAGGUCUAUGUGUUCAAAAUCAUGAAGGAGGAUGUCAAAGUGUUUCUGCAGCGCAUCAGGCGGAAGAAAAAGCAACAUGAAGUUCCCAUCUACAUCAAACUGCUUUCACUUAUAUUCUGCCGAAUUUGUUCCAUCUAUAGGACUGUACAUGGAGAUUAUCUAUAAGGGUUAUGUCCCGUGCAAGGAGAUUAUCUUAUAGGACAGGCAUAUCAGCCCCCAUUCAGACAUAGCAGAUAUUCAACAGAAGAAGUUCCUCCACUGCUACUGGCCAAACUCUAAGCAAAAAGACCUUCCACUUUCCUUGCUAAUGGUGAGCAACUCAAAGAUGGCUACAAGGUUACACUUAAUAUUUACUCUCUGAAUAACAUAUUAUUUAUUUGACCAAUACAUGUAUAAAUGCCUUGAGAGAACAUGUAUAUAUAGCUGCAUAUAUGUUAUAUCUGAACAAUGGCAGAUUUGACCAUUAAUUACAUGUAUAUACUUGCUAGGAGAGAACGUGUAUAGCUUUCAGUUAAGCUUUUCGAUCAUUAAGCUGUUACUUUCUCAUCUUAUUUCUAGGUAGAAACAUUAUUGGUGUUCUUUAGCUUAAUUUUGAAACAUGAACACCAUCAUGUCUUCAUCGCCGAAAGUGACGUUCUUUCCCAUUAAUCUGUGCACUCGAAAACUAUUCAAAUAUAUAUUUCCACUUGGUAGUUUUCGUAUGUCCAAUGGUUUGACGGGUGUGCAUUUUCAGGAGAGUUAGCAAAUC